rnacentral:misc_RNA from 1 species
UCUCCCUUCCGUAUCUCUCUCACACAACCUACUUCUCUUGAAAGUGUCGAUAUACUAUUUCCUCUAUUAGCUCCUAUAACAAGACAUUAGCUCUUUCGAAAAGGGAAACGAAAACAUGGCGAAUGAUCAGGCCAACGAAGAUCCAUUGAAGAAGGUGUUUGUUGGUGGUUUGGACAGGUCCACAUCAGAUGAAGCUUUAAAGACGUAUUUUGAGUCUUACGGAGAAAUGACAGACUGCGUGGUAAUACGCGAUGGAGGCAAGGCUUCUAGAGGAUUCGGCUACGUGACUUUCGCCGAAAGAGAAAGCGUCUUAAAGGUCUUAGGAGAAAAACCCCAUACGAUCGAUGGCAAAACUGUCGAAGUAAAGCGAGCUAUUCCUAGAAAUGAAGACAGCGCAACAGCUCAUCAUAGAACAAAGAAACUCUUUAUUGGUGGAUUGAAAGACGAGACGACCAUGGAAGACAUAAAGCAAGCCGUCGCCGAGUCAGCACGCGGAAUUGCGCCAACCCUUGUGGACCUGAUCAUGAAGAAAGACGAGCCGCAAAAGCAUCGUGGUUUCUGCUUCGUUGAAUUUGAAGACGAGGAUAUAGUGGAUGAACUUUGUUGCCUCAAAAGGAUCACAAUCUCCGGCAAACAAGUUGAAAUCAAGAAAGCUCAACCUAAAGAUGGUCAGGGGGCACGUUCGGGGGGUCGUGGUGGACGCGGAGGGGGUCGUGGAUUUAGCCAUCGUGAUCGCAGUGGUGGUGGAGGUGGACAGUACACAUACAAUAUGUAUGGCGGUCAUGGAUACCAGCAAUACUCUGAUCCUAGUUAUUACAGCGGCUAUGAUGGUUAUGGAUACGACAAUGGUUACGGUAACAUGGGUAACUACCAGCAAGCUCCUUCAAACUUUGGCUCACAGCACGGUGGAUAUGGAAGGGGUGGCGGUCCAAGACAACGGUACACACCAUACUAGAAAAGGUUUCGUUGCAUUUGAAGUCUUAAGUCAACAUAGCCAGACAUAAGUUACAUUAAGUCAGCCAGGACCUAGGCUACCAAGGAUUCCCUGAAGAAUUGCUGUCGCAGUCAAUCUACCACUUAAGAUGCAGUGUAGGCUUCCUCCUAAUCACAGACCUCUUCGUGUAGACAGGACUCGACCAGUUGCAGUAUUUUAUUAGGAGUAGAAUUUUAUUACAAACUUACAUUUUUAGAUUAGUUUACAUGUAUACCCAAACCCUUGGCUGUUAUUAAAGUUGGUUAGGUUAAGAAUAAAGGUCUAAGUGCUAUUCAGGAGUUGUUAGUUUUUUUUUUUGCAAAAGACUUGAGGAGCUUGUUUUUAUUUGUUUUUUAUUUAUCUACUUUUGUGUUACAGUCAUGGUUAACCUUUCUCUAGGUUAGCUUUUCAUGGGAUAUUUUCUGGAAAAAAAUCAAACUUCUACAAACGAGUUACAGGAGUGUAUCUCGUGGUGCUGUACUUACUUACUUACAUUGCACUGAUGCAGCAACAAAGGGGAAGCAGAGUAUGUUGUGCUUAAAAUAUGAAUGCUACACUAGAAACAGCAAUAGAGUGCAGACAACUCUGAGAGAAUUCAACUAAGAAGAUUACGAAUUAAACCAGUGUAAAAACCUAGCCAACAAAUGUCUGGGUAGGAGACAGUGAAAAGUGAAAAUGGAGUAGCUUGGGUCCUGGCACAAUAUCCAUCUCUGACAGAGAAUUUUCACUGAUGAAUAUCAUUUACAUUUACCCAUUUAAGCUUUGGGAAAAAUAUAUUAAAUUCAAAAAGAAAGAAACAGCAUGUGUGGUGUUCUUUAUGUCUUCUUACAGAGUGCCCAAUGGCAAGCCCAAUCACCAACCACUCGCCCAUUAAUUUUCAUGCAAUUAAAUUGGCCACUUUAUAUCACAUGCAAAGUGACCAGACAGUUAGCAAGCAAUAACCACUGUCUACAUCAAUAUUUGCCCUCUGGUUAUUUCUGUUGGAAAAGAAGCAAAAGGAACCCCAAGCAUUUCACCUUUUCAUCUUUAUUACAUGGAAGAAGGACAAACUCAUUUUUUGGUCUAGUGAUAGUGACAUUAAAAAGAUGAUCUCAAAUGCUUCUCCAGAAAGUUCCAAAAAGUCAACAAAAUUUGCUGUUAAGGAGAGUUUUAAAAUUUGAGAGGAGGGUUAUAAUUAAAUAGAGCCCCUUCUGGCUUGCUGCUGUGUCAGCUGAUAAAGCCCUUGACUCAGAGAUUUUCUCAAAUUCUCGCAUUUGCCCUCAAAGCUUUGUUUCUCAGCCAAUUAUUCUUAUCUCUUAGUUAGGGACCCUAUCAGCUGACGUACCGCGCGCCAGAAGGGAUAAAUUUACUUAACAGACCUCGAUUUCAUGUGAUUCCACUUGGCGAAUUUUCUCUUGCAACAUGUUCCUUGUCCAAAAAGUCAGGUAGUUCAGACAGUUUUGCCAACAUUCUGUAAUUUUUCAGUUUUCUGAUUAUUUCCAAUUAGCUCAAACAUUUUGAUUAAUAAAGGUAUUCGAUUUGAA